rnacentral:rRNA from 1 species
GUGAGGAAUAUUGGUCAAUGGACGAGAGUCUGAACCAGCCAAGUCGCGUGAAGGAAGACGGUUCUAUGAAUUGUAAACUUCUUUUGUGCAGGAAUAAAGUGGGUUACGUGUAACCCUUUGUCUGUACUGUACGAAUAAGGAUCGGCUAACUCCGUGCCAGCAGCCGCGGUAAUACGGAGGAUCCGAGCGUUAUCCGGAUUUAUUGGGUUUAAGGGGUGCGUAGGUGGAUUGAUAAGUCAGCGGUGAAAGUUUGCGGCUUAACUGUAAAAUUGCCGUUGAAACUGUCGGUAUUGAGUGCAAAUGAGGUAGGCGGAAUGUGUUGUGUAGCGGUGAAAUGCUUAGAUAUAACACAGAACUCCGAUUGCGAAGGCAGCUUACUGGGAUGCAACUGACACUGAUGCACGAAAGCGUGGGUAUCAAACAGGAUUAGAAACCCCUUUUAGUCC